UACGGAGGGAGCUAGCGUUGUUCGGAUAUACUGGGCGUAAAGCGCACGUAGGCGGCGCAGUAAGUCAGGGGUGAAAUCCCGGGGCUCAACCCCGGAACUGCCCUUGAAACUGCAGUGCUAGAAUCUUGGAGAGGCGAGUGGAAUUCCGAGUGUAGAGGUGAAAUUCGUAGAUAUUCGGAAGAACACCAGUGGCGAAGGCGACUCGCUGGACAAGUAUUGACGCUGAGGCUGCGAAAGCGUGGGGAGCAAACAGG
rnacentral:rRNA from 1 species